AACAAGCCUAUACAAAACCACAUUCAACUCUUUUGCUACAUAUUCAAUUAUCCAUAUUUUGGCAAAAGAUAAUGCAUUAAUAUAUGCAUUUAGGGUGUUUUGCAUUAAUGGAUCUAGAUUUGAGGUUUAUUAUUUCCUUAGAACUAUGGUUUGGACAAGUCACAAAGCAAGAGCUCAAAACAAGCCUAAAGUGUUUAUUUAUGGAUGGUAAGUUCUCUAUAUUGCAAGCUAGAUAUAGCCAUGAUCUUCCACCAUGAUAAGGUAAGUACCUUUCUAUUGGUUAUGUUCAUUCAACUUUCUUUCCAAACAAUCUAUGCUAAUCUAAUUCAAGUCCAAAAUCAUGCAAGCUUGAUAAAAAAGAAGAGCUCUCUCUUGUCCAAACCCUAGUUUUAAAGAAAU
rnacentral:lncRNA from 1 species